rnacentral:rRNA from 1 species
AAGACCUUGCACUUUUGGAGCGGCCGAUGUCUGAUUAGCUAGUUGGUGGGGUAAUGGCCUACCGAAGCUUCGAUCAGUAGCUGGUCUGAGAGGACGGCCAGCCACACUGGGACUGAGACACGGCCCAGACUCCUACGGGAGGCAGCAGUGGGGAAUUUUGGACAAUGGGCGCAAGCCUGAUCCAGCCAUGCCGCGUGAGUGAAGAAGGCCUUCGGGUUGUAAAGCUCUUUCAGCCGGGAAGAAAAGGUUGCGACUAAUAAUCGCAAUUCAUGACGGUACCGAAAGAAGAAGCACCGGCUAACUACGUGCCAGCAGCCGCGGUAAUACGUAGGGUGCGAGCGUUAAUCGGAAUUACUGGGCGUAAAGGGUGCGCAGGCGGUUUUGUAAGUCAGAUGUGAAAUCCCCGGGCUUAACCUGGGAACU